CCCUUCCUUUCACAGUAAUCCUCAUGUCCAUGCAGUAGCUCCUUGUCUUUGCCAUAGUCCACAGAAGGCUUACCAGCCAGGCCGCGUUUCCCAGGAACUCAACCUCUCUGACUUCCAGGCAUAGAACACACAGAACUUGGGGCCCGGCAGACACCUCUAUAGCUCUUAUUAUUUGAAUCACAGGAGUUCCCUGGAGUCAGCACCUGGAGGAGGAGUGCCCCAAACCUGCUGACCCUCUUUGGUCCAGAGCUGUGGACAUUGCUGGUUCUGUGAGUUUGUUUUCCUGGCUCCGGUCUGCCCUGUGCCCUGGAAAUAGGAGGUAAGAAGAGACAGGAAAAGGAGGCCUGGAUGCCUAGAGAUUUUCCACUUCUAGCAAGAACAUUGUCAAGCAAGAGUUCAACCUACCCAUUUCACAGAUGCAGUAACUGAGGUGUUGUGAGGCUGCAGGCCUCGCCUCACAGAGAGUUUAUAAAGACUAGAAGCCCAGGCCAGGUGACCCCCGUGUGAAGCUUUUCCUAUAUUUAUGUACUAUUUCUCUACUAUUUCUUGACCAGCCUAGAGUGAAUCUCACCUCCUCAAAUGAUAUGGUAUGAAUGUUUGUCCCUGCCAAAUCUCAUAUUGAAAUAUGAUUUCCAUUGCCGGAGGUGAGGCCUGGCAGAAAGCGAUUGGAUCAUGGAGGCAGACUCCUCAUGAAUGGAUUAGCACCAUCCUCUUAGUUCAUGUAAGAUCUGGUUGUUUCAAAGAGUCUGGGACUUCCCCCUUCUCUCUCAUGCUCCCACUCUUGCCCUAUGAUGCACCUGCUCCCCUUUGCCUUUCAUCAUGAUUUAAGCUUUCUGAGGCUUCACCAGAAGGAGUUGCUGGCAUUACGCUUCUUGUACAGUCUGCAGAAUUGUAAGCCAAUUAAAACUCGUUUUAA